AAUGCCUAGGAAUCUGCCUGGUAGUGGGGGAUAACGUUCGGAAACGGACGCUAAUACCGCAUACGUCCUACGGGAGAAAGCAGGGGACCUUCGGGCCUUGCGCUAUCAGAUGAGCCUAGGUCGGAUUAGCUAGUUGGUGAGGUAAUGGCCCACCAAGGCGACGAUCCGUAACUGGUCUGAGAGGAUGAUCAGUCACACUGGAACUGAGACACGGUCCAGACUCCUACGGGAGGCAGCAGUGGGGAAUAUUGGACAAUGGGCGAAAGCCUGAUCCAGCCAUGCCGCGUGUGUGAAGAAGGUCUUCGGAUUGUAAAGCACUUUAAGUUGGGAGGAAGGGUUGUAAAUUAAUACUCUGCAAUUUUGACGUUACCGACAGAAUAAGCACCGGCUAACUCUGUGCCAGCAGCCGCGGUAAUACAGAGGGUGCAAGCGUUAAUCGGAAUUACUGGGCGUAAAGCGCGCGUAGGUGGUUUGUUAAGUUGGAUGUGAAAUCCCCGGGCUCAACCUGGGAACUGCAUUCAAAACUGACUGACUAGAGUAUGGUAGAGGGUGGUGGAAUUUCCUGUGUAGCGGUGAAAUGCGUAGAUAUAGGAAGG
rnacentral:rRNA from 1 species